rnacentral:tmRNA from 1 species
GGGGAUGAAAGGAUUUCGACGGGGAUUUUGAAGUUUGGUAAGCGGGCAGAGAUGCAGGAUCUCUUGAAACACUGCAACCUUUAAAACAAACGACAGCAAUAAGACUGUUCUCGCGGCUGCUUAAGUAGCGCCGCCGUCGAACCGGGGAGGACUGCGGCCCCGGAGCUCGGCGUGGAUCAGCAGUGAACGUGCACGGGCAAGCGCCGACGUAACCCGUCAUGCAAAUACGCCGGCUGCGGUGGCGUACACCUGUCCCCGGAUGAGCGCCAUUUAAGACAGAUCAGGGACUACGCUCGUAGAAAGCCGGAUGGAUGAGUUUUCGGACGCGGUUUCGAUUACCGCCAUCUCCACCA